AGGCAGCGGCCCUGCACGUUCAGCGCGUGCGCGUACAGCGCGGGGCGGGCCCCGUCCGCCGCCGCCGCCAGCUGCGUGACGUCAUUGUGGAGUCUGAAGGGCCCGGAUAGCCCCGGGUUUGGCUGCAGCUGUUUCUGCUGGAAUUCAUCCCACAGUCCAAGGAAUGGCCAGGCCCAGGAGAAGGGGAAAACUCAC